UACGAAGGGGGCUAGCGUUACUCGGAAUGACUGGGCGUAAAGGGCGCGUAGGCGGUUUGUUUAGUUAGGCGUGAAAUUCCUGGGCUCAACCUGGGGGCUGCGCUUAAUACAGGCAGACUAGAGUGUGAAAGAGGGUCGUGGAAUUCCCAGUGUAGAGGUGAAAUUCGUAGAUAUUGGGAAGAACACCGGUGGCGAAGGCGGCGACCUGGUUCAUUACUGACGCUGAGGCGCGAAAGCGUGGGGAGCAAACAGG
rnacentral:rRNA from 1 species